UCUCCGUAGGUGAACCUGCGGAGGGAUCAUUACAGAGUUCAUGCCCUACCGGGUAGAUCUCCCACCCUAUGUUAUUAUUACUUUGUUGUUUUGGCGGGCCGUUAGGCUCCGGCCCGACUACCGGCCCCGGCUGGUAAGCGCCCGCCAGAGGACCCAAAACCCUGAAUAUUAGUGUCGUCUGAGUACUAUAUAAUAGUUAAAACUUUCAACAACGGAUCUCUUGGUUCUG
rnacentral:misc_RNA from 1 species